rnacentral:rRNA from 1 species
ACUAACCAGGAUUCCCCCAGUAACGGCGAGUGAAGCGGGAAGAGCUCACGUUGUAAAUCUGACUUCGGUCCGAAUUGUAGUCUGGAGAGGCGUGACCAGCUGGAGUCGGGGGCGAAGUCUCUUGGAAAAGAGCAUCAAGGAGGGUGACAAUCCCGUUCUUGCCCCCGCGCUCCACGCGUACGGUCCGUUUUCUACGAGUCGAGUUGCUUGGGAUUGCAGCUCAAAGCGGGUGGUAAAUUCCAUCUAAAGCUAAACACGGGUGGGAGACCGAUAGCGAACAAGUACCGUGAGGGAAAGAUGCAAAGAACUUUGAAAAGAGAGUUAAAGAGUGCCUGAAAUUGCUGAAAGGGAAGCGAAGGAAACCAGUGUCUGGCGGUUCCGCUUCUCCUUGGCCCCUCGGGGCCUUGGUUUGCGUUUCCGCCGUGGCCAGGGCCGGGUAGUGUUGCGGGAGCCUGCGCUUCGGAAGGUAGCAUCUCUUCGGAGUGUGAAGACCGUGGCGUGUCGUCGCGACGCUGGCCGGUUCUGACGAAAUGGUUUUCUUUACCCCGUCUUGAAACACGGACCAAGGAGUCUAACAUGCCCGCGAGUACAGGGGUGUUCAAACCCCCGUGCGCAGUGAAAGUGAAUGCAGGUGGGAAGCCGCAAGGUGGCACCAUCGACCGACCGUGUCUCUUCGGGGGCGAGGUUUGAGUGUGAGCGUGCAUGUUGGGACCCGAAAGAUGGUGAACUAUGCCUGAAUAGGGCGAAGCCAGGGGAAACUCUGGUGGAGGCUCGUAGCGAUUCUGACGUGCAAAUCGAUCGUGAGAUUUGGGUAUAGGGGCGAAAGACUAAUCGAACCAUCUAGUAGCUGGUUCCCUCCGAAAUUUCCCUCAGAUAGCUGCAACCUGCGUUCAGUUUUAU